rnacentral:rRNA from 1 species
GUCUACGGCCAUACCACCCUGAACGUGCCCGAUCUCGUCUGAUCUCUGAAGCUAAGCAGGGUCGGGCCUGGUCAGUACUUGGAUGGGAGAAAGGCAGAGUGACAGAGAGA